rnacentral:rRNA from 1 species
UAAGACCUUGCGCUUUUGGAGCGGCCGAUGUCUGAUUAGCUAGUUGGUGGGGUAAUGGCCUACCAAAGCUUCGAUCAGUAGCUGGUCUGAGAGGACGGCCAGCCACACUGGGACUGAGACACGGCCCAGACUCCUACGGGAGGCAGCAGUGGGGAAUUUUGGACAAUGGGCGCAAGCCUGAUCCAGCCAUGCCGCGUGGGUGAAGAAGGCCUUCGGGUUGUAAAGCUCUUUCAGCCGGGAAGAAAAGGCUGCGACUAAUAAUCGCAGUUCAUGACGGUACCGGAAGAAGAAGCACCGGCUAACUACGUGCCAGCAGCCGCGGUAAUACGUAGGGUGCGAGCGUUAAUCGGAAUUACUGGGCGUAAAGGGUGCGCAGGCGGUUUUGUAAGUCAGAUGUGAAAUCCCCGGGCUUAACCUGGGAACU